rnacentral:misc_RNA from 1 species
UCUGGUUUUCAUGGUUUCUUCUUUAUUCUCUCUUAUAUGGUGAAUGAUGCUGAUAUUUACUUGAAGUUAUUGUGCCAAGAUUUAGUAGUAUGUGAUAUUCAUUCUUCUAUAUUUCACUGCAAGAUCCCCCUCCCCCAACACGCACAGUAAUUAUGUUUGCAAAUGCACACAAAUGAUAAAGUUUUCUUUUCUUUUUAAUGCUAAGUUAUUUCUUUGGAUUUUACAGAAAUGUUGAUGAUUGCAUACCAUAGGAUUAGUAUAUUUGCCUAUUCAGAUUGAUUGCUGUGCAUGCUGAGUUGUUUAACCUCUAUAUUUUUGGUGGGAUGGGCUGCUGGCAGUGUUGGGAGCACUUAAUUUUCAUGUGUUGAUGAGGAGUAUGCUCAGCUUAUGGAUUUGCUUAUGGAUUUAUCUCCUGUUAAAUUUGAUGCCAUUUGACAUUUUAAUAAAUUGGUUGAGUAGUGGAUUGUCAUGUGUUUCGGAUUUGAUGGUGUAUUAGGCUAAGGAUAUUGGAUAAUUGGAAGUAGGAAGAAAUCUAAACCAUAUAAGGGAUCAAAGGAAAAAGAAAGGAACUCAUUUUUUAACACAGUUUCCCAUUUAAUUUGACCAUCAAUUUAUUAAUCCUUUGGC